rnacentral:rRNA from 1 species
ACGAACGCUGGCUGCGUGCUUAACACAUGCAAGUCGAACGGAAAGGCCUUUUCGGAGGUACUCGAGUGGCGAACGGGUGAGUAACACGUGGGUGAUCUGCCCUGCACUCUGGGAUAAGCCUGGGAAACUGGGUCUAAUACCGGAUAGGACCGCACUUUAGUGUGUGUGGUGGAAAGUUUUUUCGGUGUAGGAUGAGCCCGCGGCCUAUCAGCUUGUUGGUGGGGUAAUGGCCUACCAAGGCGGCGACGGGUAGCCGGACUGAGAGGUUGGUCGGCCACAUUGGGACUGAGAUACGGCCCAGACUCCUACGGGAGGCAGCAGUGGGGAAUAUUGCACAAUGGGCGCAAGCCUGAUGCAGCGACGCCGCGUGGGGGAUGACGGCCUUCGGGUUGUAAACUCCUUUCGCCAGGGACGAAGCGUUUUGUGACGGUACCUGGAGAAGAAGCACCGGCUAACUACGUG